UAACCAGCGGUUGAUACGCUCACACUAAUGAAGCUCACGAGCAAGCUUUUCUUUAAUUGAUUGUCUUGCUUGCUCGUUUGUGAGCUUCAUUUCUUGUGUGAGCUCAUUAUUAACCGCUGGUUCAAUCCAGAGGAACUUUGAUUUCAAUCCCAAGAUUAUCCCCGCAUUCAUUAAAGAAAAAUUAAUAUUG
rnacentral:ribozyme from 1 species